rnacentral:rRNA from 1 species
AAGAGACAGCAGCAGCCACGGGAAUACAGAGGGUGCGAGCGUUAAUCGGAUUUACUGGGCGUAAAGCGUGCGUAGGCGGCUUCUUAAGUCGGAUGUGAAAUCCCUGAGCUUAACUUAGGAAUUGCAUUCGAUACUGGGAAGCUAGAGUAUGGGAGAGGAUGGUAGAAUUCCAGGUGUAGCGGUGAAAUGCGUAGAGAUCUGGAGGAAUACCGAUGGCGAAGGCAGCCAUCUGGCCUAAUACUGACGCUGAGGUACGAAAGCAUGGGGAGCAAACAGGAUUAGAUACCCGAGUAGUCCCUGUCUCUUAUAA